AAAUUGAAGAGUUUGAUCAUGGCUCAGAUUGAACGCUGGCGGCAGGCCUAACACAUGCAAGUCGAACGGUAACAGAAAGCAGCUUGCUGCUUUGCUGACGAGUGGCGGACGGGUGAGUAAUGUCUGGGAAACUGCCUGAUGGAGGGGGAUAACUACUGGAAACGGUAGCUAAUACCGCAUAACGUCGCAAGACCAAAGAGGGGGACCUUCGGGCCUCUUGCCAUCGGAUGUGCCCAGAUGGGAUUAGCUAGUAGGUGGGGUAACGGCUCACCUAGGCGACGAUC
rnacentral:rRNA from 1 species